GUGGGGAAUAUUGGACAAUGGGCGAAAGCCUGAUCCAGCCAUGCCGCGUGUGUGAAGAAGGUCUUCGGAUUGUAAAGCACUUUAAGUUGGGAGGAAGGGCAGUAAGUUAAUACCUUGCUGUUUUGACGUUACCGACAGAAUAAGCACCGGCUAACUUCGUGCCAGCAGCCGCGGUAAUACGAAGGGUGCAAGCGUUAAUCGGAAUUACUGGGCGUAAAGCGCGCGUAGGUGGUUUUGUAAGUUGGAGGUGAAAUCCACGGGCUCAACCUGGGAACUGCCUCCAAAACUGCAUGACUAGAGUACGGUAGAGGGUAGUGGAAUUUCCUGUGUAGCGGUGAAAUGCGUAGAUAUAGGAAGGAACACCAGUGGCGAAGGCGACUACCUGGACUGAUACUGACACUGAGGUGCGAAAGCGUGGGGAGCAAACAGGAUUAGAAACCCGUGUAGUCC
rnacentral:rRNA from 1 species